AUUUAAAGGACUAUGACAUUAAUUACUUUUUUCCUGUGGAAAAAAAUAAAAAGAAUUAAAUAGUAAGAAAUGCAGUAAUUGCUUCUGUUGGUUUCUAUUAAUUCUUUUAUUUGUGCUAAUAUGAUCUUUCUAAUAGGAAAUACCUGCAGAGGGAACUUCUUCAACAGGUCAUGUUGUUAACGGAGUCCCUGCACCAAGCAACUAUCAUUCAAUUAGGACAAAUUCUGCAAAUGGGUGAGAACUCAUUCAACUCCACGUGCUUCUUUUCUUAUUUAAUCAAUCCAUAAGGGUUUUUACUUUUUAUUUGUACUCUAGUUUAUUGAAGAUCAAUAAAUCACUGUUAGUCAAUUUAUAA